ensembl:lncRNA
AAAUUUAUUAUGUUCACUAUUCUUGAGUGCAGACAAUUAGAAUGAUUUCUGAAAGAUCAUACUGCGUAUUGAUGCUUUUUUUUUUAAGAAAAUACUUCCUAUACUACACAACUAUUAGCUAAUAUAUUUUUCAAAAGCGUAUUAAAUGCUAAAUAAAUAACAAUAUCCAUAGUUUUCAUUUUUAAAUUUAGGAUUUUAUUAAACGAAUUUUAUUUCCGUAUUUAUUAGUCUAGGUGAAAGCAACGUCCCUAUUUUUCCAGACCAACGAACAGAUUUCACCUCACCUGUUUAACUCCCAGUCAGGCCCCGCUGAACAGGGGCCACAAAAGACACACAGGAUCUAAGACUUGAAUUAUUGAUCACUGGCUGAGUGGGGAAGAAACCUGGGGCUGCUCAAUCCUGGUGACAGACAAUAAAUCCGAAUACCCCAUGGAAAGAUGAAAGGAGUGAGGGAUUAAGUUAGAGCAGAGAGGAAGAGGAGCAUGACAGGGAGGGAGUAAGGUUGGGUUGAUCAGUCUAUGAGCUGCAGACACACUCUUACCAUACACAGGGGAAAUGGGUCCUCAGCUACACUUCAGCAGCACCUACUCAGAGGAGUUCAGUUACCCGGCUCGGGUCAAACCCACCCGGCCCAGACCGUCCUCUGCAUAUCGCAGGAACAAUCCUCAUCCACAACCGGACUUUCUGAUGCCAAGAAUGCUGCAGACAGGAUACGGCUCACGGAAAUACUUUCAGACAACUACUCCUUCUACCACUUUUCUACCUCCAGUCAGACACAUGUCAGUCCAGUAUCCAGAUGCACAAACAGCACAUGGACAGUCAAUGCAGAGCUCAUCACAAAGAGAUUACAAAGCACCUGUGGUCUCGUCUGCAGUUUGUACACUGCCACCUGCUGCCUGCUUUCUCAAACCACAACCAAACAACUUUGCUCAUGCAACAAUCUCAAACACACAAGGGAAAUAUUCAGAAACAGAUCAUAUCAGAUCAGCUUGGAACCAGCAGAUGGAGAUCAUGCCAUCUUUAAAAGCCUUCAAACACCAGGGUACCCAUCAUCAAAGAUCGCGCUCAAAAUCCACUACUGAUUGCAGUGAAGGAAACAGCUGUUUCUAUGUGGUGAAGCCAUAUAAAGUCGGACACUACAUCAUCCACCCAGAGUUUGUGUCAGAAGCAAAGCACUACUAAAAGCCACAUUGUUUGGGCAUUUUAUAUCUAUUUUUUUUUCCCAUUUAUUGUCAGUUUAUAAAUGUCAUUUUACAGUGUAUUAUUGAGGUACGUUAUGUGUUUGGAGAUCCUGCCUUGAGAUCUAAAUGUGCAUUACAUGACAAAUAAACAACGUUUAUGAUGUGCCUGUUAAAUGUUUGUUAUUUUGUCUUACAAACAUCACCAUGGGAACCAGUAGGCUAAGUACAACAUAUUCAUAUAACAUAUUUUCAUAAAAUAGGUUAAAAAUGUCAAAUAGGCUACAUUAAAAUGGUUAACUUUUUUUUCAAACUCACACCAGUUAAAUCAGUUAAUACAUUUCAAAUACUAUUUUAACAACUGGUUAAAAUAGUUACUGAAUUCAAAACCAUUACCUCAAAUCGCCUAUGACAGUAGUUAUAAAAAACUUUUUUUUUUUUUUUUAAAUGGCUAAAAUAUACACCAUUUAAAAUAAAAGUGAUACUAAAAAAAAAGAAAAUGGAAAAAACUUUAAUUAUAU